rnacentral:rRNA from 1 species
GACGAACGCUGGCGGCGUGCUUAACACAUGCAAGUCGUACGGUAAGGCCCUUUCGGGGGUACACGAGUGGCGAACGGGUGAGUAACACGUGAGUAACCUGCCCACAACUUUGGGAUAACGCUAGGAAACUGGUGCUAAUACUGGAUAUGUGCUCCUGCUGCAUGGUGGGGGUUGGAAAGCUCCGGCGGUUGUGGAUGGACUCGCGGCCUAACAGCUUGUUGGUGGGGUAGUGGCCUAACGAGGCGGCGACGGGUAGCCGGCCUGAGAGGGUGAGCGGCCACAUUGGGACUGAGGUACGGCCCAGACUCCGACGGGAGGCAGCAGGGGGGAAUAUUGCACAAUGGGCGCAAGCCGGAUGCAGCAACGCCGCGGGCGGGAUGACGGCCUUCGGGUUGAAAACCGCUUUCAGCAGGGACGAAGCUUUUUGUGACGGUACCUGCAGAAGAAGCACCGGCUAACUACGUG